rnacentral:rRNA from 1 species
AGAGUUUGAUCCUGGCUCAGGAUGAACGCUGGCGGCGUGCUUAACACAUGCAAGUCGAACGAAGCGCUCCGGACGAUUCUUUCGGGAUGAGACUGGAGGGACUGAGUGGCGGACGGGUGAGUAACGCGUGGGUAACCUGCCUCAUACAGGGGGAUAACACUUAGAAAUAGGUGCUAAUACCGCAUAAGCGCACAGGACCGCAUGGUCCGGUGUGAAAAGCUCCGGCGGUAUGAGAUGGACCCGCGUUGGAUUAGCCAGUUGGCAGGGUAACGGCCUACCAAAGCGACGAUCCAUAGCCGGCCUGAGAGGGUGACCGGCCACAUUGGGACUGAGACACGGCCCAAACUCCUACGGGAGGCAGCAGUGGGGAAUAUUGCACAAUGGGGGAAACCCUGAUGCAGCGACGCCGCGUGAGUGAAGAAGUAUUUCGGUAUGUAAAGCUCUAUCAGCAGGGAAGAAAAUGACGGUACCUGACUAAGAAGCCCCGGCUAACUACGUGCCAGCAGCCGCGGUAAUACGUAGGGGGCAAGCGUUAUCCGGAUUUACUGGGUGUAAAGGGAGCGUAGACGGAAGAGCAAGUCUGAUGUGAAAGGCAUGGGCUCAACCCGUGGACUGCAUUGGAAACUGUCAUACUUGAGUGCCGGAGGGGUAAGCGGAAUUCCUAGUGUAGCGGUGAAAUGCGUAGAUAUUAGGAGGAACACCAGUGGCGAAGGCGGCUUACUGGACGGUAACUGACGUUGAGGCUCGAAAGCGUGGGGAGCAAACAGGAUUAGAUACCCUGGUAGUCC